AAAAAGUGCAAAAUGCUCAUCAAUCUUGCUAAAGAAAGGGUAGCCAAUAUAUGUACAGCAGAUGAUGAUACUUCUGUUUUUAUAAGUUUGCACCAGGGAGGAGGGAAAAAAUUAGAAUGAGAAAGAGAAAGGGGUAAAUAAGCAAGUAGGAAUUUUAUUCAUAUGAGCUUUUUUCCUUUUUUUUUUUUUUUUUUUUUUUUUUUCUUCUUUAACCUGUAAUGCACAUUUUUGAAUACUAAGCCAUAUUCACACACUGACGUUUUUCAAAGUAAUAAAUACUCUCUUUUAGAGUGUUUCCGUCAGGAGGAAGAAUUCCCCGCAAUUGCCCAUAAGCGAUUGGACUUUAUUUAUUCAGAAUUUAAUUUUCAAGGCGUCAAAAAUGUCCCUUGCUACAGAGCAUGAUAGAAAUCUUACUUGUUAAGUCUUCAUGUUUCGGUUCAAUAUUGGAUACCAGUUGUAGGGAUAUAUGUGUGUCUAAAUUGAUUGGGGCGAGGUUAUAAACUGUGGUUUGUGAAAGGAAUUAUAAGAAGGUGUGUGUGUGCGAAGUGGAAAAAUUGAAAGACGUAGACUCUUUCGGGUUUCUCUUCUUUUUUUUUUUUUCAUCAGCUCGCUCCCCUUCUUUUUUUUUUUUUUUGCUUCCACUUUUUAUCUCCUUUACUCAAUAACACGCACGAAGUUGAGUAGGAUUGCUGUGACAUACUCGUGCCAUUUUUGAUUGUAUUAAAACUGGAAACUUUUAUGCGCAGUAUAUUCGAAAUAACAUCUGCCGAGUGCUUUAUGGCUUACAAAACAAUCUGGGAAAGUUUUUUAGUAGUCCUUGUUACCCCAUAUAUAUUUUAUAUAUAUGUACUACGGCGGACCCAGGGUUGAUUAAGGCGAGUUGGAAAAAGGGAGCUGCAUUCACCUUACUGGUAUAGAACCCAGAACGUGGGUGCCCCUUUUUUUUUUUUUCCUUCUCUGGCACCUUAAUCAUCAUUGGAGUUAUCUACUUUAGAAAGCGGCAUAAGUUUGUAGCUAGUCCCCAGAAAGUUUUUCAGAACAAAAGCCCAUAACUAGUAAUUCCUUCACCUCUCGAAUGGUAAUACAGUACUUUGUGAGAUCGUGUAGCAUCUCUAAUUUGAAGGUGAAUUAAUUUUCCCGGAUAAUUAGAGUGUGAAAAAUCCAAUAAGUAUCUGUUUCAUUCGAUGUGAUAGAUGAAAGUAAUGACGCUUAGUUUCAGUUAAACUGAUGGCAAACGGUCAACUUAUGUUGUUAAACAUGUUUAUUCGUUUUUUUUAAAAAGAAUGGCAUGCAUUUUUAAAGGAGUUCUCUAGCGUAUAGCACGAAUGGAAAUGCACGGUAUUUGUAGCAACCGUUUUUUCAUACCUAUACAAUCACAAAGUAUUUCAAAAUAUAAGGCAGAAGGGCAAAUCCGCCAAACAUUAAAAAAAUAAGCGGAAGAAAAGAAAAUUAUAAUGAUUCCUCUAGUAACGCCAAGUAAACGAGGAGGAGCUUACGCUGAAAAUCUUUCAAUAGAAGAGGACCUUACGGGUGGUUUUUCCUUCUUCUGUAAAGAAUUGUAGCACAUUAGGUGAAAGAUGAUUAUAUAUAUACAGCCAGUGUGCGUAUACAAAAAUAUAUAGCAUAUCAGUAAACGUCCCUGAAAAUUUUAAGCCCAUAUUUAUUUACUAGAGAACGAAAUUUUUUAUUAAUGCAGGAUAGCAUUCCCAUAGAGGGUGAAAGGCCCGUAGUUUUUGUAAAUAUAUACAAAAGAGUGUUGUCUUGGGGGGCGCAGCGGAAAAAGAUCUUUUCCCACUCGCCAUUCAAUAUCUCUUUAUUUUUCAGGGACUUCUUUCAUUUGAGAGUCGUGUUCAUGAAAUUGGAACACUAAUAUGUGUGGUACAUGGGAAGGGUUUUUUGGUUGGUGCUGUGGGUUUUUGGUCUACCCUGCUCGAGACUUUGCUUGUACCGAUGAGUGUGCAGGGGGAGUAAAGGUAUGGGUAGUAUCAUAACUUUUUACACGGUGGUACGCCCCCUUCUUUCAACUUUUUUUUUUUUUUAAAAAAAUUAAUUGUUGUUAACCAUAUAAAGCUAAAUAUACGUAGGAGACCGAUAGCAAACAAGUACCGUAAGGGAAAGAUGAAAUAGUACUCAGGAAUGAGCGAUUAAAUAGUACCUGAAAUCGUUAAGGUGGAACGGAUUAAGGAAGAGAAAAAGUAAGGUUUACUGUUCUCUUCUUUGGCAUGCUUCUCAAGGUGUUACAUCUUUCACUGGGACUGGUUCUUCCAGCGUUUGAUCAGAUUUCCUGCGGGACCUUUUCCACAGUUAAUCUGCAUUCUUACCAGAGCGAGACACUUCGGAGUGGGAUCACUGUCACAGAGACAUGACCAGAGAACGUGUAAUGGUUUAUCUUAUUUAAAGAAACAUCAGUAAAGGUUUUUUUAUAUUUUUGGGGACGUUGCAAAAAGUGUGGAGCGGACACGGGGGUAAGUUGGGAAAAAAAAAGAAGAGAAAGAAAGUGAAAGAGGCAUACAUAUAUGUAUAUAUAUACUAUUGGGUGAGUGAUAUACACUUCGCGUGUUGUUUUUUCGUCCCCAAUUGUACUGUAUAUGUAUAUAUGUGUGUUUUUUUUUUUUUUUUUCCUUUUUUGACCUCUUUCCCCCGGUUUUCCCCCUGGCUAAGGAGGGGCGACACAAAUAUAUUGUGAUUAUAUUUUACAAUUAUAUUUUGUCGGCUUCGCCACACAGUUGAAGGAACUUAUGGUUCUCUCUUUCACUAUCUCUCUCUUUUGCUCUUCGCGGGGGUAUGGAGUGUUGUGUGUGUUUUUGGAACUGUAUGGUCUCCGUCAGCUGUGUUACGCACGUUUUUCCCCCCUUUACUGAGGGAGAUUUUAAAAAUAGUAAAAAACUGUAUGCGAAAGCAGCACUUUUUACUGUUUAAGUUGUUUCUAAAAAGGUUUUCCUUAACCCUCUCGUCUUGAAACACGAACCAAGGAGUCUAGCAAAUAUGCAAGCGAACGUGGGAUUAUAUAUAACAAAUAUAGUGAUUAAACAUAUGACUGCGGUGUUUAGUAGUGGUGCUUGAUCAGCGCAGCGAAAGGCACCCAGCAAAGUUUUGCGCGUUGUGGUUUUUAAUCGAUCACCUUUGUAGAUUUGAAAUCCCUGCUCUUUGUUGUGUUUUCAUUAAAGCCAACAAAAAUAAGUGGUGGAAUUUGAUGCUUACAAUUACGGUUAGUAAUUAUAUAAUUUUUUAUUGCCUACCGUAGGAGCAUAUAUGCUAGGACCCGAGAGGCUUUGAACUAAAAACCGCGUUGAAGUCCAGAAUGGCUACAUAAAUUUCAACUGGGAGGGUUGUUAUUUGAUUUUGUGCACAUUUGGGAUAGUUCACAUCAACCGCGCUUUUAGGGGCACACGUAGAAUAUAAGCACAUGCGUUGCCUUGACUGAAAAGCCUAUUAGCUGGUUAUUUUCGAAAGAUCUCUCAAGAUCGCUGAAGUCGGACGUGUACUUUUAUCUGCCACAUUGAGGGGUGAUAUAUGAAAGGAAGAGAGGAGUAAUAAUAGUCUUGGAGGAGGAUAUCAUCUUUUUGGUAUUUUUCUUCAGGCUAUUAUUAUUUAUUUUUUUUUUUCAUUUUCCCUUUCGGGAUGGGUAAUUCGUAAAGAGAAUGAUGAGGGAAGGAAAAAUAAGAAAAUGAAAGAAGGAAAAAGAAGCGGCUUCAUUCUGAGGCAGUUUUUUUUUUUUUUUUAUACCUUUGUUUCCCUCUCUUCUCUUUGCGCAUGAGAGAAUACGAGACUUCAAGUGAGCCAAUUUUGGUAAACAAAAAAUGGCAAUGAGGGAUGAACCUAAUGCCUGGAUAAGGUGCCUAAAUAUUCGCUCAUUAGAUCCAAAAUAAAAAAAGGUGUUGAUUUGUGAUGACAGCAGGGCGGUACUCAUUAAAGUGGAGAUCCGCUAAGGAGUGUGUAACAACUCACCUGCCGAAUGAACUUGCCCUGAAUAAAUGGAUGGCGCUAAAGCGGAUUACCGAUACCAGGCCAUAAAAAGUGAAAUGGCUUUAAAAGCAAAGCCGCUCCAAUUUUUGUGUCCUUUUGACAACUUUUUAUGAGUAGAAAAUCGUGGGGUUUUGUGCAGAAGCGAAAUACGUGAGUAUUCGUGAAACAUAUCCCUAGUGCAGAUCUUGGUGGAAGUAGCAAUUAUUCAAAUGAAAUAUUUUGAAGGGCCUAUUAAGUAUAACUUAAUUUAAUCGUUUUGUUAUACGGAUAAAUUUUCCAAAUGUCUAUUGCCAUAUCCUCCUUAUGGAGACAACAUGAUUAGCCGCUCCCCCGGAAUCAUUUUUUUUUUCUUCCUCUCUUCAUCCGAAGUUUGGAAAUAAAAAAAAAAUGCGUUUGUGAGUCUUUGCGGAAGGGUUUCACAAAAGAACCCGCUAUACGUGUAAUAGAUUUUUUAUGGAUCCAUUGCACAGUGGUUUAGUGUUUCUUUUUCUGCUUUUUCAGUUUCGUGGGGAAAUCAGGUUUAUAAACCCUGAGCAAUUAAUUCUUCGAGCUCUUACCUCAAGCUGGCGACAGGAUUAUUUUCAUAAUUCUUAAAAUUCUAUCGUAGAUGAUUCUCUCCCAUCGGUGUGCAUAUAGGUGCGUGUGCUUUUUGUUGCGACACUUAAUAUUUUAUAUUUUUUGUUGCUUCAUCUAGCAUCCACCCCUUAAUGCAUAGCCCACAAAAUAUAAGUGCAGCAAAAAAUCUCUGAGUACAGGUUGCUUUUAAACCUUGCGUAGAUAGAGUGCAUUUUACAAAAUGGUUACAAAUUUUUUUUAAAUUUAUAAACAUGAUGUUAAUAUAAUGCCAUUUUUGCUGAAGCCUUAGGAACGGGAUAGGGAGAUGGAGA